AAUCCAUGCAUCGAACGUUUCUGAAGUAAUUCUUUAAACAGUUCCUAAGCUUCAUAUAGUGUUUCAUCCUCCGAUUAUAGAAAAGAUAUGAUAUCAUUUCUAAGUUU
rfam:Gossypium raimondii chromosome 2, whole genome shotgun sequence.